rnacentral:rRNA from 1 species
CAGAGACUGCAAGCGUUGUUCGGAUUCAUUGGGCGUAAAGGGUCCGUAGGCGGUCGGUUAAGUCGGAUGUGAAAUCUCGUGGCCCAACCACGAGCGGUCAUUCGAAACUAAUCGGCUAGAGGGCUGGAGAGGAGACUGGAAUUGUCGGUGUAGCGGUGAAAUGCGUAGAGAUCGACAAGAACACCGGUGGCGAAGGCGGGUCUCUGGACAGUUCCUGACGCUGAGGGACGAAAGCUAGGGGAGCAAACGGGAUUAGAUACCCCGGUAGUCCUAGCCGUAAACGGUGCUCACUCGGUGUGGGGGGAGUCGACCCCCUCCGUGCCGAAGCUAACGCGAUAAGUGAGCCGCCUGGGAAGUACGAUCGCAAGGUUA